rnacentral:rRNA from 1 species
GAUGAACGCUGGCGGCGUGCCUAAUACAUGCCAGUCGAGCGAACAGACGAGGAGCUUGCUCCUCUGACGUUAGCGGCGGACGGGUGAGUAACACGUGGAUAACCUACCUAUAAGACUGGGAUAACUUCGGGAAACCGGAGCUAAUACCGGAUAAUAUAUUGAACCGCAUGGUUCAAUAGUGAAAGACGGGUUUGCUGUCACUUAUAGAUGGAUCCGCGCCGCAUUAGCUAGUUGGUAAGGUAAAGGCUUACCAAGGCAACGAUGCGUAGCCGACCUGAGAGGGUGAUCGGCCACACUGGAACUGAGACACGGUCCAGACUCCUACGGGAGGCAGCAGUAGGGAAUCUUCCGCAAUGGGCGAAAGCCUGACGGAGCAACGCCGCGUGAGUGACGAAGGUCUUCGGAUCGUAAAACUCUGUUAUUAGGGAAGAACAAAUGUGUAAGUAACUAUGCACGUCUUGACGGUACCUAAUCAGAAAGCCACGGCUAACUACGUG